rnacentral:rRNA from 1 species
CCUACGGGUGACUGCAGUGAGGAAUAUUGGUCAAUGGACGGAAGUCUGAACCAGCCAUGCCGCGUGCAGGCAGACGGCUCUAUGAGUUGUAAACUGCUUUUGUACAAGGGUAAACCUGAAUACGUGUAUUCAGCUGAAAGUACUGUACGAAUAAGGAUCGGCUAACUCCGUGCCAGCAGCCGCGGUAAUACGGAGGAUCCAAGCGUUAUCCGGAUUUAUUGGGUUUAAAGGGUGCGUAGGCUGAUUGAUAAGUUAGAGGUGAAAUGUCCGAGCUUAACUCGGGAACUGCCUCUAAUACUGUUGAGCUAGAGAGUAGAUGCGGUAGGCGGAAUGUAUGGUGUAGCGGUGAAAUGCUUAGAGAGCAUACAGAACACCGAUUGCGAAGGCAGCCUAACAAGCUAUAUCUGACGUUGAGGCACGAAAGCGUGGGGAGCAAACAGGAUUAGAUACCCCUGUAGUC